GUCCCGGUAGCUCAGUUAGUAGAGCACCUGUACAUACAUACGUGGUGAGUGAAAGCGCCUAGCAAUAACUGCCGAGAGGUCGCAGGAUCGAAGCCUGCCCGGGAUU